AAGAAUUUAGUUUAAUAAAAACAUUAAUUUGUCAAAUUAAAAAUAUAUUUACAUAUAAUUCUUA
rnacentral:tRNA from 1 species